AUUGAACGCUGGCGGAAUGCUUUACACAUGCAAGUCGAACGGCAGCACGGGGCAACCUGGUGGCGAGUGGCGAACGGGUGAGUAAUACAUCGGAACGUGCCCAAUCGUGGGGGAUAACGUAGCGAAAGUUACGCUAAUACCGCAUACGAUCUACGGAUGAAAGCGGGGGAUCGCAAGACCUCGCGCGAAUGGAGCGGCCGAUGUCAGAUUAGGUAGUUGGGUGGGGUAAAGGCUCACCAAGCCGACGAUCUGUAGCUGGUCUGAGAGGACGACCAGCCACACUGGGACUGAGACACGGCCCAGACUCCUACGGGAGGCAGCAGUGGGGAAUUUUGGGACAAUGGGCGCAAGCCUGAUCCAGACCAUUCCGCGUGCAGGAUGAAGGCCUUC
rnacentral:rRNA from 1 species